GUUUGAUCCUGGCUCAGAACGAACGCUGACGGCGUGGCUAAGACAUGCAAGUUGAACGGGGUUUCUGAUUGAGUAAUCGAGAGGAAACUUAGUGGCGUAAGGGUGAGUAAUGGACAGGUAACGUACCCUUUGCUUCGGAAUAGCUGCGGUCUUCGGACCUUUAGCGAAAGUGCAGGUAAUACCGAAUGAUAUCACCGAGUCGCAUGAUUUGGUGAUCAAAGGUUUCGGCCGGCUUUGGAGCGGCCUAUCUCGUAUCAGCUAGUUGGUGAGGUAACGGCUCACCAAGGCUUCGACGCGUAGCGGGACUGAGAGGUUGACCCGCCACAUCGGGACUGAGACACUGCCCGGACCUCCACGGAGGGCUGCAGUAACGAAUAUUGCGCAAUGGGCGAAAGCCUGACGCAGCGACGCCGUGUGUAGGAUGAAGUCCCUCGGGAUGUAAACUACUGUCAGGGAGAAGAAAGGCUUCGGCUUGAUCUAUCCCAAAGGAAGGCCCGGCUAACUUCGUGCCAGCAGCCGCGGUAAGACGAAGGGGCCAAGCGUUGUUCGGAAUUAUUGGGCUCAAAGCGCACGCAGGCGGAGUAUUAAGUGUCUUGUGAAAUCCCUCGGCUUAACCGAGGAACUGCGGGGCAAACUGGUAUUCUUGAGACAGGUAGGGGUGCAUGGAACUCUAGGUGGAGCGGUGAAAUGCGUAGAUAUCUAGAGGAACGCCAGUGGUGAAAACGGUGCACUGGGCCUGUUCUGACGCUGAGGUGCGAAAGCGUGGGUAGCGAACGGGAUUAGAUACCCCGGUAGUCCACGCCGUAAACGAUGCCUACUAGGUCGUGGAGAUUCUGACAUCGUCACGGCCGAAGCAAAAGUGUUAAGUAGGCCGCCUGGGGAGUACGGUCGCAAGGCUAAAACUCAAAGGAAUUGACGGGGGCUCACACAAGCGGUGGAGCAUGUGGCUUAAUUCGAAGCAACGCGAAGAACCUUAUCCUGGGUUUGACAUGCUUGGAUGCCGCCUAUGAAAGUAGGUUGGCUGCCUUCGGGUGAAACUUGCACAGGUGCUGCAUGGCUGUCGUCAGCUCGUGUCGUGAGAUGUCGGGUUAAGUCCCUUAACGAGCGAAACCCUUAUCGUUAGUUGCCAGCGGGUCAAGCCGGGAACUCUAGCGAGACUGCCGGUGUUAAACCGGAGGAAGGUGGGGAUGACGUCAAGUCCUCAUGGCCUUUAUGCCCAGGGCUGCACACGUGCUACAAUGGCGGCGACAAACCGACGCAAUACCGUGGGGUGGAGCAAAUCGGAGAAACGUCGCCUCAGUUCGGAUUGCAGGCUGCAACUCGCCUGCAUGAAGUUGGAAUCGCUAGUAAUCGCAGAUCAGCAUGCUGCGGUGAAUCUGUUCCUGAGCCUUGUACACACCGCCCGUCAAGUCACGGAAGCUGGGAGUACCUGAAGUCGGGUAGCCAACCCUCGGGAGGCGCCUGCCGAUGGUAAGCUCGGUGACUGGGGCUAAGUCGUAACAAGGUA
rnacentral:rRNA from 1 species